rnacentral:rRNA from 1 species
GAUGAACGCUGGCGGCGUGCCUAAUACAUGCCAGUCGAGCGAACAGACGAGGAGCUUGCUCCUUUGACGUUAGCGGCGGACGGGUGAGUAACACGUGGGUAACCUACCUAUAAGACUGGGAUAACUUCGGGAAACCGGAGCUAAUACCGGAUAAUAUUUCGAACCGCAUGGUUCGAUAGUGAAAGAUGGCUCUGCUAUCACUUAUAGAUGGACCUGCGCCGUAUUAGCUAGUUGGUAAGGUAACGGCUUACCAAGGCAACGAUACGUAGCCGACCUGAGAGGGUGAUCGGCCACACUGGAACUGAGACACGGUCCAGACUCCUACGGGAGGCAGCAGUAGGGAAUCUUCCGCAAUGGGCGAAAGCCUGACGGAGCAACGCCGCGUGAGUGAUGAAGGUCUUCGGAUCGUAAAACUCUGUUAUUAGGGAAGAACAAACGUGUAAGUAGCUGUGCACGUCUUGACGGUACCUAAUCAGAAAGCCACGGCUAACUACGUG